UGCAAGUCGAGCGCGAUAUUUUUGAAGAUACUUCGGUUGAUUUCUUGAAUGGAAAGCGGCGAAAGGGAGAGUAACGAGUAGAUACGUACCCAAGGGUCCGGGAUAGCCAUGCGAAAGCGUGAGUAACACCGGAUAAUGUCUCCGGACCAAAUAUUUAUAGCCCUUGGAGCGGUCUGCUUACUAUUAGCUUGUUGGUGGGGUAAAGGCCUACCAAGGCAAAGAUGGUUAGCGGGUGUGAGAGCAUGGCCCGUCUCACUGGGACUGAGACACUGCCCAGACAUCUACGGAUGGCUGCAGUCGAGAAUCUUCCGCAAUGGACGAAAGUCUGACGGAGCGACGCCGCGUGAUGGACGAAGGCCCUCGGGUUGUAAACAUCUGUCGUAGGGGAGGAAAUUUUGACCGAUCCUAGGAGGAAGCACAGGCUAAGUUCGUGCCAGCAGCCGCGGUAAUACG
rnacentral:rRNA from 1 species